UGGGGAAUUGUUCGCAAUGGGCGCAAGCCUGACGACGCAACGCCGCGUGGAGGAUGAAGGUCUUCGGAUUGUAAACUCCUGUUGCCCGGGACGAAACACUCUGACCUAACACGUCAGAGUCUGACGGUACCGGGUGAGGAAGCCCCGGCUAACUCUGUGCCAGCAGCCGCGGUAAUACAGAGGGGGCUAGCGUUGUUCGGAAUUACUGGGCGUAAAGGGCGCGUAGGUGGCCUGUUAAGUCGAACGUGAAAUCCCCGGGCUCAACCCGGGAACUGCGUCCGAGACUGGCAGGCUCGAAUCCGGGAGAGGGAUGUGGAAUUCCAGGUGUAGCGGUGAAAUGCGUAGAUAUCUGGAGGAACACCGGUGGCGAAGGCGGCAUCCUGGACCGGUAUUGACGCUGAGGCGCGAAAGCCAGGGGAGCAAACGGG
rnacentral:rRNA from 1 species